GAAAUGCGAUAAGUAGUGUGAAUUGCAGAAUUCAGUGAAUCAUCGAAUCUUUGAACGCACAUUGCGCCCUUUGGUAUUCCUUAGGGCAUGCCUGUUCGAGCGUCAUCUAAACCUUCAAGCCCUGCUUGGUGUUGGGUGCCUGUCCCGCCUCCGCGCGCGGACUCACCUCAAAUCCAUUGGCGGCCCCCGCGUCGGCCACGAGCGCAGCAGAAACGCGAACUCGUGAGCCCGCCCGGGCGGCUCCCAGAAGCUACACCCACCCAGUUUGACCUCGGAUCAGGUAGGGAUACCCGCUGAACUUAAAC
rnacentral:misc_RNA from 1 species